rnacentral:lncRNA from 1 species
CGGGUCCAAAGGAACAGGACUUCCUGGAACUCAACCAGCAACAUUCUUAAUACUUAAACUUCUCUUUAGAACACCACAAAGGUCCUCUGCCUUCCCUAAAAUGCAGAAAUAAUUUAACUAUUUACAAACUUGGAGAUAAACUGUGCUACACAUAGCCCUGUUCCCAUGGGGAAAGCCUAGGACCUCCCAGCCAUCCUUUCACAACCACCCUACCUGCAGGUGAGUAUUUCCUCUAACUUCCUCAUAAUUGUCUCUGCUGUCAUGGUAUAAGUUCAUCUUUG